AUACUCACCUGGCAGGGGAGAUACCAUGAUCACGAAGGUGGUUUUCCCAGGGCGAGGCUUAUCCUUUGUACUCUGGAUGUGCUGAUCCCUGCAAUUUCCCCAAAUGUGGGAAACUCAGCUGCAUAAUUUGUGGUAGUGGGAGACUGUGUUCACACUCUUCUCAA
rfam:Otolemur garnettii contig120629, whole genome shotgun sequence.